rnacentral:rRNA from 1 species
CGGUGUUGAUUUAGGGAGGGAUAUGUGAGUGUUCUGUGCGUGCUGGGCAGACAGACGUCUUUAAGUUUGACCUCAAAUCAGGUAGGGUUACCCGCUGAACUUAAGCAUAUCAAUAAGCGGAGGAAAAGAAACCAACUGGGAUUGCCUUAGUAACGGCGAGUGAAGCGGCAAAAGCUCAAAUUUGAAAUCUGGUACCUUUGGUGCCCGAGUUGUAAUUUGGAGAGUACCACUUUGGGACUGUACUUUGCCUAUGUUCCUUGGAACAGGACGUCAUGGAGGGUGAGAAUCCCGUGUGGCGAGGGUGUCAGUUCUUUGUAAAGGGUGCUCGAAGAGUCGAGUUGUUUGGGAAUGCAGCUCUAAGUGGGUGGUAAAUUCCAUCUAAAGCUAAAUACAGGCGAGAGACCGAUAGCGAACAAGUACAGUGAUGGAAAGAUGAAAAGAACUUUGAAAAGAGAGUGAAAAAGUACGUGAAAUUGUUGAAAGGGAAGGGCAUUUGAUCAGACAUGGUGUUUUGCGCCCCUUGCCUCUCGUGGGCUUGGGACUCUCGCAGCUCACUGGGCCAGCAUCGGUUUUGGCGGCCGGAAAAAACCUAGGGAAUGUGGCUCUGCGCCUCGGUGUAGAGUGUUAUAGCCCUGGGGAAUACGGCCAGCCGGGACCGAGGACUGCGAUACUUGUUAUCUAGGAUGCUGGCAUAAUGGUUAUAUGCCGCCCGUCUUGAAACACGGACCAAGGAGUCUAACGUCUAUGCGAGUGUUUGGGUGUUAACCCGU